rnacentral:pre_miRNA from 1 species
CUUGAGUCCUGUUUUAUAUUAUGGGACGUUUGAUUGUUCGUCUUAUUUGAAAUUUUUAUGAUUAGUAUUUUUAUUGUUAUUAGAUGAUAAAACAUGAAUAACAUUUUAUGUGUGACUAAUUUUUUUAUAUUUUUUUUAAAUAAAAUGGACGGUCAAAUGUUAGACACGGAUACUACGAUUACACUUAUU